GUUUGAUCCUGGCUCAGAAUCAACGCUGGCGGCGCGCUUAACACAUGCAAGUCGCACGAGAAAGUGGAGCAAUCCAUGAGUACAGUGGCGUACGGGUGAGUAACACGUGGAUCAUCUACCUCUUGAUGGGGAAUAACCCUGGGAAACCGGGGCUAAUACCGCAUAAGCCUGAAAAGGGAAAGCAGCAAUGCGUCGAGAGAGGAGUCCGCGGCCGAUUAGCUAGUUGGUAGGGUAAAGGCCUACCAAGGCAAUGAUCGGUAGCCGGCCUGAGAGGGCACACGGCCACACUGGCACUGAAACACGGGCCAGACUCCUACGGGAGGCAGCAGUGGGGAAUCUUGCACAAUGGAGGAAACUCUGAUGCAGCGACGCCGCGUGAGUGAUGAAGCCCUUCGGGGUGUAAA
rnacentral:rRNA from 1 species